rnacentral:rRNA from 1 species
UACGUAGGGUGCAAGCGUUGUCCGGAAUUAUUGGGCGUAAAGAGCUCGUAGGCGGCUUGUCGCGUCGGCUGUGAAAACCUGGGGCUCAACCCCGGGCCUGCAGCCGAUACGGGCAAGCUAGAAUUCGGUAGGGGAGACUGGAAUUCCUGGUGUAGCGGUGAAAUGCGCAGAUAUCAGGAGGAACACCGGUGGCGAAGGCGGAUCUCUGGGCCGAUACUGACGCUGAGGAGCGAAAGCGUGGGGAGCGAACAGG